GAAUUACUGAUGUGAGCCACUGUGCCUGAUCCCGAAAAGAACAAGAGCUACUCUUAGCCAGAAAAAUGCCAGAUGGUACUGAGGAAUCAGACUCAUACUAUUCCAGAGCAAUGUCAUCUGCAGAAGAGAGCCAGUAGCUAAUUGACAGAGAUGCCCUUGUUGUUUUCAUGGAAGUCAAGAUGUCCUAUGUCUAUCACUAGACCUGUCCUUCUAUAAUUGGCUUGGGUCUCAAGCUCCCUUUGGAACUUUAUUCUAGAAAUUUGGGGAAUGCAUACAACUUUUGCCUUGCUUUUGAAAUGAUAACUCUGCAUUCGUUCUCAACCAUCAUUAAUCAUGCAUAGCUGUGCUCAUUGAGGCAAUGUUUUUGAGAACCGAUGGAUGAACAAGAUCUUAUUAGCACUGGUUUCCAUGGUUUAUCGCUUAUGGCCAAUGUCACACAGGAUUUUCAACCAGGAUGGGAACGCCCAGCAGCUGGAAGUCCAGCUGCCAAUUCAUCAAUUUGAGAAUCAUGAGGCAAGGCCAGAUUUAAUUGCACAGUGAAAGGCAGUUCUACCCAGGAGCCACUGCAGGCGGCUGUGCUCUGCUAGGGCAGAGCCUACUCUACUGAUCCAGUCUGUUCAUUUUGCAGAAAAGCCCCCUGAGGCCCAGAGAGGUAACGUGACUUGUCCUAGGUCACACAGUGAGUUAUCUAGGUCUUUACACUCUAACACUGCCUCCCUUGCUCCCUGAGCCGGAGAGUAAAGUAGCAAAGAACCGUGUGUUCUAAGCAGCCCUUUGGACUUGAGCCACAUUGACCUCUGCUUAUUUGUAUUUUUUUCUUUAGGAAUUAUAUAUUUUUAAAGUAGCAUAUUUGUUGUUUCUAUUUUGUAAAGAAGCUCAUGGAUGAGAAUUUGGAAAAUAUAGAAAAAUUUAAGAAAAAAUAACCAUAAAACAAUAGCUUCAAGUUAGCAUUUUUUAUUCACUUACAAUUAUUUUAUGUAUAUGUGCACAUUGUUAAUUUGUAUUUUGGAUAAAAUUGAGGUUAUAUUAUAUGUGCAGUAUUACAUUCUGUUUUUCCAUUUAUUGCAAUUUAUUUUCUCACAUCAU